UACGUAGGGGGCAAGCGUUGUCCGGAUUUAUUGGGCGUAAAGAGCGUGUAGGCGGCUUGGUAGGUCCGCUGUGAAAACUCGAGGCUCAACCUCGAGAUGUCGGCGGAAACCACUUGGCUAGAGUCCGGAAGAGGAGAGUGGAGUUCCUGGUGUAGCGGUGAAAUGCGCAGAUAUCAGGAAGAACACCUAUGGCGAAGGCAGCUCUCUGGGACGGUACUGACGCUGAGACGCGAAAGCGUGGGGAGCGAACAGG
rnacentral:rRNA from 1 species